AUCUCUUAAAAUACUUUGCCAGUUAG
rnacentral:piRNA from 1 species